UUACCGUUAGGGUGCAGCAGGCGGGCGCCACGCGCGUCCCCGCAGCUCGUCCGGGGGCUGGGCCGACGUUUCUAUCCAGGUUAAGAUGGCAUCCUAGUGAUGCGAAGCGGCGAGAGCCGCACCUGAGUCGAAGGCCAAAAAAACAGCGACCGGCGUCGACAGCGGGGACCCACCAGUCCGCCCGCGAAUCCCAUACACCUUCCACCCUUGCUCAUGAGAACCUCAUCGUUUCCUCGGCGGGCUCGCCCGCCGGCGGACAUCAACAAAACCCCUUGCAGUUAAGCAGUGCCUUGUCUGAACAAAAAAGCAAAUAGUUAAAACUUUCAACGACGGAUCUCUUGGUUCUGGCAUCGAUGAAGAACGCAGCGAAAUGCGAUAAGUAGUGUGAAUUGCAGAAUUCAGUGAAUCAUCGAAUCUUUGAACGCACAUUGCGCCCUUUGGUAUUCCGAAGGGCAUGCCUGUUCGAGCGUCAUUUGACCCCUCAAGCUCUGCUUGGUGUUGGGCGCUUGUCCCCCCCUCCUCGGGCGGGACUCGCCUUGAAGUCAUCGGCGCCGACGAGCCGCACCGGAGCGCAGCAGAUGAGGCGCUCUCCCGGGGCGGCCCGCCGGCCACCGUCAAGGAAAACCACGCUCUUGACCUCGGAUCAGGCAGGGAUACCCGCUGAACUUAAGCAUAUCAAUAAGCGGAGGAAAAGAAACCAACAGGGAUUGCCCUAGUAACGGCGAGUGAAGCGGCAACAGCUCAAAUUUGAAAUCUGGCUCCCUUCGGGGCCCGAGUUGUAAUUUGCAGAGGGCGCUUCGGCGGCGGCCCCGGCCUAAGUUCCUUGGAACAGGACGUCACAGAGGGUGAGAAUCCCGUACGUGGCUGGCGGCCAACGCCAUGUGAAGCCCCUUCGACGAGUCGAGUUGUUUGGGAAUGCAGCUCUAAAUGGGAGGUAAAUUUCUUCUAAAGCUAAAUACUGGCCAGAGACCGAUAGCGCACAAGUAGAGUGAUCGAAAGAUGAAAAGCACUUUGGAAAGAGAGUCAAAAAGCACGUGAAAUCGUUGAAAGGGAAGCGCUUGCAGCCAGACGUGCCCGCGGAUGCUCACCCAGGCCCACGGCCUGGUGCACUCUUCCGCGGGCAGGCCAGCAUCAGCUCUGGCGGUCGGAUAAAGGUCCCGGGAAUGUGGCUCCCCUCGGGG
rnacentral:rRNA from 1 species